GGGGAAUAAGGGUUCGAUUCCGGAGAGGGACGCCGUGAGAAACGGCUACCACUAUCCAAGGAAGGCAGCAGGCGCGCAAAUUACCCAAUCCCGACACGGGGAGGUAUGUGACAAUAAUAUAACAAUAUAGGGGCUCUUUGCGGGUCUUAUAAUGUGGAAUGAGUACAAUUUAAAUCCCUUAAGCGAGGAACAAUUGGAGGGCAAGUCGUUGGUGCCAGCAGCCGGGUAAUUCCAGCUCCAAUAGCGUAUAUUAAGAGUUGUUGCAGUUAAAAACGCUCGUAGUUGAACUUCAGGCCUGGCGUGGAUGGUCUACCUAACGGUAUGUACUGUCGUGGCUGGGUCUUUACCUCUUGGUGAGCCGGUAUGCCCUUA
rnacentral:rRNA from 1 species